rnacentral:rRNA from 1 species
GAUGAACGCUAGCUACAGGCUUAACACAUGCAAGUCGCAGGGUAACAUGAGGAAAGCUUGCUUUCCUUGAUGACGACUGGCGCACGGGUGAGUAACGCGUAUCCAACCUUCCCAUAACUACGGGAUAACCCGUUGAAAGACGGCCUAAUACCGUAUGAUAUCGUUUGCUGACAUCAAAUAACGAUUAAAGGUUUAGCGGUUAUGGAUGGGGAUGCGUCUGAUUAGCUUGUUGGCGGGGUAACGGCCCACCAAGGCGACGAUCAGUAGGGGUUCUGAGAGGAAGGUCCCCCACAUUGGAACUGAGACACGGUCCAAACUCCUACGGGAGGCAGCAGUGAGGAAUAUUGAUCAAUGGGCGAGAGCCUGAACCAGCCAAGUAGCGUGCAGGAUGACGGCCCUAUGGGUUGUAAACUGCUUUUAUGUGGGGAUAAAGUGCGUGACGUGUCAUGCAUUGCAGGUACCACAUGAAUAAGGACCGGCUAAUUCCGUG